rnacentral:misc_RNA from 1 species
UUUCCGUAGGUGAACCUGCGGAAGGAUCAUUAAUGAGUGAGGGCCCCUCGGGGUCCAACCUCCCACCCGUGUUUAACGAACCUUGUUGCUUCGGCGGGCCCGCCUCACGGCCGCCGGGGGGCAUCUGCCCCCGGGCCCGCGCCCGCCGAAGCCACCUGUGAACGCUGUCUGAAGUAUGCAGUCUGAGACAAUUAUUAAAUUAAUUAAAACUUUCAACAACGGAUCUCUUGGUUCCG